CGCCUAUUCGGAAGCACGUAACUGCAGAAGGGGAUGGUCCCUAUGUAAGUCAAAGGCAAGGCUACUCUCUCUACACUUUCGUAGCAACAAGAGCACGGGGAUGGUCGCCAGGAGUGCUCUUUACAGUGCGAAGAGGGCAUCCUCUGAGCGCUCCUGCUUCUUCCUGCCUGAAGGAUUCGUAGGAGGGGUGGGGGCCUCCAGCGGAGGAGAAGGGAAGAUGCUCCAGAAGGAUGCACUAUGGAACAUCAGCUACCAUGAGUUUGAUGGAUUGGAAGAGGAUCUCUGCUGGGUGAUUGUAUCAGAAGAGAGCAAGAUGGAUAUUCUACUCAAAAGCACUGGACUGAGACAGCUCUGAAAGCCAGAGGCUUCCCUGCUUACCUUCACUUGUCACGCCUUCUUCCAGUUCUUCUCCUUUCUGCAGUUGGGACAAAGAAACAAUUACUACUGGAACACGAUGACCUAGAUGAGUCACAUGGUGCUCAUGUCAGGAGGCAGAUGAACGACCCAGUACUUCUCUGUGUUGCAGAGCAAGAGAAAUAGUCCAAAUGAUGGCGCUAUUGAUUAUUGGUGACAUCCAUUAUCAGUGAACUCCCCAUUAGAUCUGAGUGACAGUCAGUUAAUCACCGCCAUCUCCACUUCCAAGAGAGCAGGCCUUUUCUUACCAAGAGAAGCCAUAACCUGAUACAAAACUGAAUAACUACAGGAGAUGCCACCUCACCUCUUUACAAUUCCUUUAGGACAUCAUGGCUGAGGCUUUCGUUAAUAUUGCAUCGUAUUUAAAAGCUUAAUCAAAUGAGGUAGACACCCCUGCCCCCCCAUGAAGUGUUUAGGGACAAUAUUUUUCCUGAAUAAAAUGGAUGGUUCAUUUUGGAUUUAGAAUUCAUGAUUGAGGGAGG